CCUGUGCCCAGGAGCUUUGCCAGAGCAAAAUGACCAGAGCAGUAUAAAGAGGAUAGGGGACAGGGGUAUUAUGGAGACCAGGGGGCUCCAUCCAGCUGGCAAGCUCUAGAGUUGUGACAUACUGAAGAAGCCAGCCCAGAAGCCAAUACUCUAUUAUGACAGCCAAACUCGAAUUAAAGGUCAUUUGUCAGACUGCACUAUGCUGAGUCCCAGGCUGGUUUCCUCUCCAGUCUAUUGCUCUAUUGCUGAGUGUGCUGAAGUAUGCCUGCCCCGGAGAGAGCAGUGUGCUGAAUAAAAUCCACUCUCCCAUGG